GGGCGUAAAGCGUACGUAGGCGGAUUAAUAAGUUAGAGGUGAAAUCCCAGGGCUCAACCCUGGAACUGCCUUUAAAACUGUUAGUCUUGAGAUCGAGAGAGGUGAGUGGAAUUCCAAGUGUAGAGGUGAAAUUCGUAGAUAUUUGGAGGAACACCAGUGGCGAAGGCGGCUCACUGGCUCGAUACUGACGCUGAGGUACGAAAGUGUGGGGAGCAAACAGGAUUAGAUACCCUGGUAGUCCACGCCGUAAACGAUGUCUACUAGCCGUUGGAAGACUUGAUCUUUUAGUGGCCCAGUUAACGCAAUAAGUAGACCGCCUGGGGAGUACGGCCGCAAGGUUAAAACUCAAAUGAAUUGACGGGGGCCCGCACAAGCGGUGGAGCAUGUGGUUUAAUUCGAUGCAACGCGAAGAACCUUACCUGGUCUUGACAUCCUGCGAACUUUCUAGAGAUAGAUUGGUGCCUUCGGGAACGCAGUGACAGGUGCUGCAUGGCU
rnacentral:rRNA from 1 species